rnacentral:rRNA from 1 species
CCUACGGGAGGCAGCAGUGGGGAAUAUUGCGCAAUGGGCGAAAGCCUGACGCAGCGACGCCGCGUGAGGGAUGAAGGUCUUCGGAUCGUAAACCUCUGUCAGCAGGGAAGAACGGUCACUGUGCUAAUCAGCAGUGAAUUGACGGUACCUGCAAAGGAAGCACCGGCUAACUCCGUGCCAGCAGCCGCGGUAAUACGGAGGGUGCGAGCGUUAAUCGGAAUUACUGGGCGUAAAGCGCUCGUAGGCGGUAUGUCAAGUCAAGGGUGAAAGCCCCGCGCUCAACGUGGGAACUGCCUUUGAAACUGGCAAACUGGAGUGUGUGAGAGGAUAGUGGAAUGCCAGGUGUAGGAGUGAAAUCCGUAGAUAUCUGGAGGAACAUCAGUGGCGUAGGCGACUAUCUGGCACAUAACUGACGCUGAGGAGCGAAAGCGUGGGUAGCAAACAGGAUUAGAUACCCGAGUAGUC